rnacentral:rRNA from 5 species
CUCGUCACACUAUCAUUAACUGAAUCCAUAGGUUAAUGAGGCGAACCGGGGGAACUGAAACAUCUAAGUACCCCGAGGAAAAGAAAUCAACCGAGAUUCCCCCAGUAGCGGCGAGCGAACGGGGAGGAGCCCAGAGCCUGAAUCAGCAUGUGUGUUAGUGGAAGCGUCUGGAAAGGCGCGCGAUACAGGGUGACAGCCCCGUACACAAAAGCGCAUGUGCUGUGAGCUCGAUGAGUAGGGCGGGACACGUGGUAUCCUGUCUGAAUAUGGGGGGACCAUCCUCCAAGGCUAAAUACUCCUGACUGACCGAUAGUGAACCAGUACCGUGAGGGAAAGGCGAAAAGAACCCCGGCGAGGGGAGUGAAAAAGAACCUGAAACCGU